AUGGAAGGAGAAGGAAGCUCAUCGGAGAUGGAGUUUACAGAGGUCGAGACCAAUACUGACUCGGUCGAUAACUCGGUCAUCUUCCGUGUCACUAAAAGCGUUAUAGGUUUUGUUCUCUAUAUGCAUCAGCAAAUCCCUUCGAUUUUGCUGGAUAUUAGUCUUGAAUUCGAUACCUUGCAAACAGAAUAUAAAGAGCUGGAGAUGGCAAUUACGCAAACUUAAUUGAAGUUAUCUGUUAGACGAGAUCACCUUAGCAGAAUGAGAGGGGUGAAGCGUGGGAUUAGGAGACUGGAGAAAUUGGUGAACACAGUGGGUGGGCUCGAGAGCGUGUUGCAACUCAUAAUUAGUGAGGUUUUUUGCUUUGAGGUAGUAAUUUUAGUGCUUGGAGCUAGUCCAUUACAGCCCCGACAUGUAUAUGAAUCGUGUUUUUUGCGUGGAAAUGUUGUAGCAGGAGAUGAUGGUAUUUUCACUAAAAGCAAAGUUGUAGAAGGGCUUUCAAGAAAGGUUGCUCGUGCCUUGAUCUCAAAGGUUGCUGGAUCCAGUUCCUAUCCAGGUCCUACUAAAUUGUUUCUGUUGGUGAAAGCUCCAGCUUCUUUCAAUUUGCCUCUGCAUUUUCUUCCAAAACGUGACUUCAGAUACUGUAAAAAGGCAUGGAUUGUGCCUACACAAAUAGCAAAAAAGAUUUAUUCUUAGUUGCAUAAGUCUUACAUUCUGAGAUAUCAUAGAUCACUUUAAGAAACAAUCACUAACGCAACCAAAACAAAAUCAAGCAUGCUACUUGGCUCAGAACUAUAAAUCCACCUUUUUUAACUGUUGAAUUGGCUAAUAUUGUUUUGAUCUUUGCUAUUCGCUUAGAGACAAUCAUGCUGAUGUAGCAAUGAAUUUCAUACAAUGACACUAAUUUUGGCUGCAUUCUGUUUAUUGAAUGCAUGCGCCAUCCUGACCUUGACAGCUCUCAAGCACAUCUUUUCUUCAACUGUUGAGCAUCAUUGUAUGAAGUUCUGUAGCCAUUCAUGUGUGUCUUUCUACAUUACGUAUAAUAUCCUGCAAGUUCUCUAACUGAAGCCUGGAGGACACAUUUGUAAAAAAAAAAAAAAAUCUUCAUGACAUUUUUGGAUUAAUCAAAAUGCAGUAUAGCUGAGAUCAUAAUAUCAGUGCUUCUCAUCCGUUGUAUUGGUGGGAGCACUACUGUAUUCAUGCUCUGUCUCCCCGCCAUCACGAGCAGCAUGCAUUAACAUCAAAUUAUUGUUUUGUUUGAUUACUUUCUUGUUUUUGAGCAGAUUGUGCCUUCCAGACUGCUGUUUUGAUAUAAUUGAUAGUUUUUCUAUUAUCUGACCUUGUGAGCUUCAAGUAUAUAGUAGAUGAUUGAAAUGCGUUUGACUCUGAUGGUGAGAACACAUAGCAGUUGAAUAAUUUGAAGAGCAGAAAAUGAAAUUGAAUAAUGUGUGAACCACCCCAAAAUGAACAGUGUAAAGUUUUCGUCUUGUCAGCUUCAUGGUCAGAAAUGAGGAAGGAGGGGGAAGUAUAUUCCAGGAUCAUUUGGUCUAUGCCUUUUGCGAUUCCAGAAAAAAAAGGGACUUUUUUUCUAUAAUAAUGUGUUAUAAUGGUUCAAGUUUUAUAAUCUAGAAGCUGGGGAGAAUUGACGCAGUUUGUGUCGCUGGCUUCUUGACGCCAUAUGAGAUUUUAUGAGUCACAAGAUUUCAACAUCAUAAAGUGACAUGAGUUUCUCUUGCAGGUUUCAAUGUCGCCAUGUAGUCAAGGGCCUCGCAUCCAAGAUCCCAACUGAAGAAUGAGUCUUUUCAUCAUUGUGAAGAGCAGAUUUUCUUGUGCCGCCUCUGAUCAUGCUUCACGCUAACUACAAUGUACCUAUGCAGCAAUGCUUCCCCUUUGGGAAUUAGUAAGUCCACUCUUCGGGAAGAAAAGUCGCUGGCGACGAAUUCUCGUUAUUUGAUACAACACUACAUUGUGUUGAUACAUCCUUGCUAUUUUUAUUCUUGAAAGAUUUGCAGUCUCUGCCUUUCGAUUUAUUCUUGGCAUCUGGCAAUAAGACAAUUAUCGGCAACAAAUCUAUCAUAAAGCCAAAAAGAUACAUGUACAAGAUAAGGACCAAAAGUGAAUAAGCCUAACCUUGCCGGCGUGUUAUGUGCAAGCCUAUUUCAUGCACGUUGAGAUUAAGAGCUUGAACAACCCGUGCAGGAAGGAGAACACGAGCGCAAGCUGCACAAUCAUGAAAGACACCAGAUCAGUACUGAUAUUUUCAGUGCCUCUUCAUUUUAGCAGGAUAUUUUGGUUUACAUGUAAGUUCAGUUUAUCUUGCCUGCCUGCCUUGUUAUUUCCAUUUUUUUUUUUAUUUUUUUUUGUGGUUCAAUUAACUUCACUGUUAAAAAUGAUUAUGUGAAAAGUACCCGCAUACACGUGGACAUGGUUGUGGAUCAGACACUUGCAUCAUUCUAUCGAAGAUUCAAAAAGAUGCCGUACCUGGCUUCUUCCUAGAUUGCAUGUUGGUGCCUGCCCCUUGUGGAAGAAAAACUCCAGUCCCAGAUGAUUUUUUACCAGAAUCUAGGAAAACAGCCUGCAUUCCAGGUCCCCCUGAUGCCCAAUUAGUGGCGUAUUUUGCUCGGCAAUUCGGUCCUGGGCUGGGUUUUGUGCGCUGAUAUCACAUAAGCACAUUGGUUAGAAACUUUGAUUACCGAGUCUAAAAAAGGAAAAACAAUUUGUAAUUUAUCAUCUCUCUAGUACUUCUAUACUAUUUAGCAA